rnacentral:tRNA from 1 species
UAGCUCAGUGGUAGAGCACUUGCUUGGCAUGUGUGAGGCCUGGGGUUCAAUUCCCAG